UGGGUUUAUUUAAAACUUAAAGGCGAAAUUAACUUAACUGUUAUUUAAUGGGAUUAUUAUAUUAUUAUAUUUAAUUAUAUAGUCAAUCCCGGGGCGUUCUAUACAGUUAUGCAUUUUAAUAUUUAUAUAUUAUAUUUGCCUCUAACUAUAGCGUACCUUGAGCAUAUAUGUUGUGACCCGAAAGAUGGUGAACUAUACCUGAUCAGGUUGAAGUCAGGGGAAACCCUGAUGGAAGACCGAAACAGUUCUGACGUGCAAAUCGAUUGUCAGAAUUGGGUAUAGGGGCGAAAGACCGAUCGAACCAUCUAGUAGCUGGUUCCCUCCGAAGUUUCCCUCAGGAUAGCUGGUGCAUUUAAAUAUUAUAUAAAAUAAUCUUAUCUGGUAAAGCGAAUGAUUAGAGGCAUUAGGGCCGAAACGACCUUAACCUAUUCUCAAACUUUAAAUGGGUAAGACCCUCACCUUUCUUGAUAUGAAGGUUGAGGUUAUGAUAUAUUGUGCCCAGUGGGCCACUUUUGGUAAGCAGAACUGGCGCUGUGGGAUGAACCAAACGUGAUGUUACGGUGCCCAAAUUGACAACUCAUACUGAUACCAUGAAAGGCGUUGCUUGCUUAAAACAGCAGGACGGUGGACAUGGAAGUCGUAAUCCGCUAAGGAGUGUGUAACAACUCACCUGCCGAAGCAACUAGCCCUUAAAAUGGAUGGCGCUCAAGUUGUAUACCUAUACAUCACCGCUAAAGCAUAUGAUUUAUAAAUUUUAUAAUUUAUAAAUUUUGAAGCUUUAGUGAGUAGGAGGGUACAAUGGUGUGCAUAGAAGUGUUUGGCGUAAGCCUGCAUGGAGCCGCCAUUGGCACAGAUCUUGGUGGUAGUAGCAAAUAAUCGAAUGAGACCUUGGAGGACUGAAGUGGAGAAGGGUUUCGUGUGAACAGUGGUUGAUCACGAGUUAGUCGGUCCUAAGUUCAAGGCGAAAGCCGAAAAUAUUUUAAGUUUUUUUUAUUUUUUUUAUAUAAAAUUUAUAAUAAUACUUAAAUAUAUUUUGAACGAAAGGGAAUACGGUUCCAAUUCCGUAACCUGUUGAGUAUACGUUUGUUAUUAAAUAUGGGCUUUCAUGCUCAUCCUGGUAACAGAAACAACCAUAAAGAAGCCGUCGAGAGAUAUCGAAAGAGUUUUCUUUUCUGUUUUAUAGUCGUACUACCAUGGAAGUCUUUCGAAGAGAGAUAUGGUAGAUGGACUAGAAGAGCAUGGCAUUUACUGCUGUGUCGAUAUUUUCUCCUCGGACCUUGAAAAUUUAUGGUGGGGUCACGCAAACUUCUUAACAGGCCGUACCGAUAUCCGC
rnacentral:rRNA from 1 species